UUAAAUGCAAUGAUCAGGAAGAAGUAAGUUAGAAUUCUUUUCGCAGAGAGCUGGGUAUAGUGUAAACCGGUAAAAGAAACUGCUGAAUGCCACCUGUGAGCAUGAGAACUGAAAUAGAAGUAGGUUCUUAACGAAAUUUCUCGUUAAAGAAAAAAGUGGGUAAAUAGAUACUUAUUUGCUUAUUAGGGUGGUACCGCGGGCUAUCUCUCGUCCCUUGA
rnacentral:ncRNA from 1 species